ensembl:lncRNA
GACCUCUUGUAUUCCAAACCUCUCUGUGUAAUAACAUCUCCGUGGCUGUUGCGGUUGUUUAACUUUCAGCUUCAGUUAAUUUAUAUUCAUUCCACUAAAUAACCCAGUGUGCGGAAUUUAGACAUUGUUUACUCUAAAACUAUAUGUUUCAGCCGGUCUUUUUGUGAUGAACACCGUCUCCGGUGACCUCUGCUUGUGUAAACUCCGCUGCUUGUGUAACAUGAACGUUAGCUAGCAGCGUUAGCUAGCGUUAGCUGCACCACAGUCAGGUACCUGCAGCUGUUGUAGCUGUGUAAGCUAGUUAGCUGCCUGUUCAGAAAGCCAGCUUGUAGUAAGUUUUGAGAUGUUUGCCCAAGUGAGAACACGCCUGGGCUCGACUUUGGUCAAACUGCCCAGUUGUUUAGGUUCAAGGGCGACGAGAGGAAUAACACCUGUCUUCUGCAAACACCAGCACCGGAGUUUCAGCUCAGAGUCUGCUGGUGUCCGGGUUGCACCCACAAUCUUGACUUCAUCCCAACUCACCACAAGUAAUUGUUUUUGUAAGGUAUAUUACUGUGUUUUUAUCUU